GACGAACGCUGGCGGCGUGCCUAACACAUGCAAGUCGAGCGAAUGAAGUUCCUUCGGGAAUGGAUUUAGCGGCGGACGGGUGAGUAACACGUGGGCAACCUGCCUCAUAGAGGGGAAUAGCCUCCCGAAAGGGAGAUUAAUACCGCAUAAGAUUGUAGUACCGCAUGAUACAGCAAUUAAAGGAGCAAUCCGCUAUGAGAUGGGCCCGCGGCGCAUUAGCUAGUUGGUGAGGUAAUGGCUCACCAAGGCGACGAUGCGUAGCCGACCUGAGAGGGUGAUCGGCCACAUUGGGACUGAGACACGGCCCAGACUCCUACGGGAGGCAGCAGUGGGGAAUAUUGCACAAUGGGGGAAACCCUGAUGCAGCAACGCCGCGUGAGUGAUGACGGCCUUCGGGUUGUAAAGCUCUGCCUUCAGGGACGAUAAUGACGGUACCUGAGGAGGAAGCCACGGCUAACUACGUG
rnacentral:rRNA from 1 species